rnacentral:lncRNA from 1 species
AAUUAUGGACCCUGAAUAGUUUUGGAGGUAGUGUCAGUCUUUAGGCGAUGGUACCAAUUCUGUCUAAGAUUUCAAAUUGCCCAAUAAACCGGAGAUUUAGUUUUCUCCUUGUGCCAAACCUACUGAUUCUCUCAAAAGAAGUAAUAUUAAGGAACACUCGAUCACCUUUCUCAAAUUCUAAAUCUCUCUUCCAGGUGUCCGUAUAAUUCUUCUGUCUGCUAUAAGCCGUCUGGAUGUUCUUCAUGAUCUUAAUUAUUUUAGUUAUAGUCUCAUCUACAAGAUCUGAAUCGAAUAAUUUUCUAUCACCCACCUCUUCCCAACAGAUCGA